AUGCACGGAAGCGGCCCUCCCCACUGCCAGCCUGGCGCGAUCCCCAGGGGCGGGAGGAGGCGGCCGCCGGCGUUCCUCGGGGCGGCGGGGCACACACAGUUAAUCCUCCGCGGCUGCUGUUUGGGCGGAAAGCGCUGGGAGUGUUGGCGGCUCCUCGCGGCUCACAUCUGGCUGGGCUUCGCUCCGUGCGCGUCUUCCCACUUUCUGCGUCUCUUCCUUUACUUUCGAGAAACCGUGCUUCCGCUUCUGGUCACAGGGACCUCGGAGCCUGGGUGGCGGACCAGAGGUGCUGGGGGGACCCGCGGCUGCUCGCACCGCCCCCACCCUCAUUCUGUGCACCGUCGGCCUCGAGGACUGGUCUCCCCGCUCUGUCUCCUUCGGCGGGUCUGCGCGUCUCCCCGAACCCGGUGGGGAGGAGGCUCGGCCUCCGGGAGAUGCUCUAAGGGCGGCGCGGGAGGAGCGGCCGGCGGGACGGAGGAAUUCAACUGCAGUGGCGCAUUUGAAGAUGCUAGCAGGCUGGCACCAGGGAGAUCGUAGCACAUUGCAUCAGGGAAGAUGGUUGCAGGUUUCCCUGGUGCCCCGUGCCAUACCUGGCAUGGGGUGGGCUCUCAGUAAUCCUCUGUCGAAUGAUGAAUGCAAGGGCUCAGCUGCUGGAGACAACCCUCAAAGUCAAAGGCUGCUGCAGCUGUUCCAGCCACAGGCAAGUAAGCAAAUUGGUGGGCACCCUAGCCCUGAGCGGGUGGGAACAGGCGCUGGCCCAUGACUUGGGAGGAGGAGGAGCCUAUGCUCUCUGGCAUUUUUCUGGCCACCCCUCAGGGUGAAGUGUAAUGUACUUUGCUGUCGGCUAUACCUAGGUCUAAUCUGAGCUCCAGCACCUCCCCACUGUGGAACCUGGGGCAGGCGGCUUCAUUGCUCUGAGCCCAUUUUCGCAUUCUAAGGAUCAGGCUCAGUGGUGAACUGAAGGCACCAUGGCCAGAGCCUGGCUCUCGGUGCCUUUUCAGGGGUAGUGGGGCUUUGUCAGAAGGAAUCGCUGAUAAACACUGGGCUACUCCUGGUCCAGGAACAGGCUGGUCAUUGCACAUCAUGCAGGGGAUGGGCUGCAGGACUGGGCUCCAUUUCCUUCUGUUCCCCGGCUGCAGGCCACGGGCCCUACACAGGCAGCCUCCUUCAGCAGCAGCGGCCAAAGACCAACAAAGCCCCCUGCUGCUGGGAAAGCGUUCUCUCUGGCUCGCCUAAUUCCAGUGCCACCCUGCUGUGCUCCCUAUGACCCGUGCCCUUCCUGGCCCUAACACCAUAGCUGCCAGGGACUCUACUGCCUAGGGGAAGGGACAUCUUCUUGUUCCAUUCAGCACGAAAUCCAGCUCCCUGCUGGGUACGUAGUAGACACUCAGUAAACAUCUGUUGAACGAAUGAGCGAAAGAGCGUGAGACUUCAGCACUAGGCCGAUCUGUAUUCCUCGUGGCUCCGCUUGAGCCUCUAACGACGCAGCAUCAGCAAACCCUCUUUUCUCCCCAACCCACUUUCCUAUGCAUCCAGUUGAGUUUCCUGGAAUCAACAAAGUGCUCCCUUAGUCCCCAGGGUGGGGCUUAUUUGUCAUUUUUCUAAGUGGAAAAUAAUGUGUAUUUACUGUGAAAAAGGAUGCGACUAUUACAGGGGAAAGAAACAGAGAGGCCGAAAGAAAAAACGGUAACAGCAUCUGUAUUCUCAUCAGCGCGGAUCAUCGCUGUUGGCGGCCUGGUGGGUGGCCUUCGGGUCUUUGUGGUUGUGCGUGCGCGUGUGCACGUGUGUUUGGGUCUGCAUGUUUUCAAUCUGCAUUUUCACUCGUUACUGCUUUAUAAACUUUCUUUUCUUUUUCUUUCUCUCUCUCUCUCUUUCCCUCCCUCCUUUCCUUCCUCUCUCUCUCUCUUUCUUUUUUGAGACAGUCUCGCUCUAUCACCCAGGCUGGAGUGCUACGGCGCCAUCUCUGCUCACUGCAAUCUCCACCUCCUGAGUUCAAGCAAUUCUUCUGCUUCAGCCUUCUGAGUAGGUGGGAUUACAGGUGCAUCCCACCACACCACAUACUAAUUUUUGUAUUUUUUAGUAGAGACAGGGUUUUACCACGUUGGCCAGGCUGGUCUUGAACUCCUGACCUCAAGUGAUCUGCCUGUCUUGGCCUUCGAAAGUGCUGGGAUUACAGGCGUGAGCCACCGCACCCGGCCCAAACAUCUUUCCAUGUCAGUAAAUAUUCACCUAUUUAUAGAGACUCCCAACUGGUGCUGCUGGCUGAUUCUGUGCCCCCAGUCCCUCCAUAUUCUUUCCUUCUUUCAACGUCUUUAGAAAAAACACGUUUCCUGGUCUGCCACAGUCCCCACCCCGCCGAUUGUGGAGUUCGCCACUCUAAUCAACCACCUCGUUUCUCUAGUUUCCAUCAUGUGGAUGCACUGUAAUUGUUUUUUUUUUUUUUUUUUUUUUUUUUGAGAUGGAGUUUUACUCUGCCACCCAGGCUGAAGUGCAGUGGUGCUAUUUCAGUUCACUGGAACCUUGCCUCCCAGGUUCAAGCAAUUCUCCUGCCUCAGCCUCUGGAGUAGCUGGGAUUACAGGCACGUGCCAGCACGCCUUGGCAAUUUUUGUAUUUUUAGUAAAGACAAGGUUUCACCAUGUUGGCCAGGCUGGUCUCAAACGCCUGACCUCAGGUGAUCUGCCCACCUCAGCCUCCCAUGCUGGGAUUACAGGUGUGAGUCCCCGAGCCCAGCCAUGUAUUUCAGACUGUCUUCCUGAACAUCAGUGUUUCUUAACCUUGGUGAAUGGAGGCUGUGGCUUUGUCUCUUUGAAGGAGUAGCCUUCUGAGUUCAGAUAAGAGGAGGAUUUCUGGGGAAGACGGCCACAUGGCCGCAUCAGGAGUCAGCGUUCUGGUGACAGUGACGUACCUUGGAUCCCUGCAUCCCCACCCAGAGUUAGAGAGAGAUUUGGACAGGUCUGUGGCUGGGGCAUGUCGUCUUUGGAUGAUGGCUCUGUACUUGGGAUUGGUUGGAGGUGAGUGGAGCAUUCGAGCCCUGCUGAGAAUUAGACAUCAGAUGCUGGUGAUUCCUG
rnacentral:lncRNA from 1 species